rnacentral:tRNA from 1 species
CAAGAAAUAGUUUAAUAAAAAUAUUAAUUUUGGAAAUUAAUGAUGAAUGAUUUAUUCUUUCUUGA